rnacentral:lncRNA from 1 species
UAUAUUAAAAUUUUUGGAUGAUCGAGAUAAAGAGCGUAACUGAAGGAAUCAUGAUAAAAAAAUAAAAUAAAAAUAAAAAAUAAAUUUUUUUUUGAAAUAAAAAUUAUAUUUUUUGGAGACACAAAUUAUGUUAUAUUAAUUUUAAUUUUACUUUUAUUUUUAUCUAAUAUUUAAAUAAAAAUAAAAUUUAAUUUAAGGAUAAUUGCCUAUAUACCUCUCAUACGUUUAAAAAUAUCCGAUUUACCUUUACUUUUUUUUUCUUUCUAAAAUACUCCUUAUAUGUUCCAUCGUUAUUGCAAAAUAAUCCCGCAGUUACCUCCUGUUAAGUUAACUUGGAUUAAAUGUGAGUUAUUAAAUAUCUACUACAGUUAAAAAAAAUUAAAAUAUCAAUUUUGCCCUUAAUUUAAGAGCAAAUAAGAAAUGUUGGUAAGGAUAGAAAAGUAUAUUGAAAAAGACCGAAAGUCAAAAUACUUUUUGUGCCCCUAACUUGUAUAUUUGAAAGAACAAAAUAAUAAUUUUAAAAAGAUAAUAGAGUUAAUUAACAGAUUUUAAAAAAUAAAUUGGAACGUAAAAAAGAUAUUUUCAAUAUUAACCUUCUAAGAGAAAUAAAUUCAAAAAUCAGAAAUUUUUCAUGAAUAUUUAAACAAUUGCCCCUUUAAUUUAAUACGUAACAGCAAAUCUAAGAGUUCUC